CUUCAUAAUUAAUUAGUAGUAGCGAUAUUACAGAGGGUGUGAUUGAGAAGGAUUUAUCAGUUGGAGGCCACACCACUCAUGCGCCAAGUGAAGUUGCAGUGUAUAAAGAAGAAAAAUCAGAAUCAAAUGUUGGAUUAGAUGGAUUGAAAGGACCCUAUAUGCCGGGUUUGGGAGGAAGUAUUAAAAAAACUUGUUUUGUUUGUUGCAUCUCGUUGGAAGAGUGUACAAUAUGCUGUAACUAAAGAAAAUAAGAAAUUGGGCCUUUGGCCCCUUUGUUCACCCAAA